rnacentral:lncRNA from 1 species
CGACAUGACAUUGUUAUUGUUACUAGAAUAAAAUUGAAAUAAAAAAGAUCAAAACCAGUCUAUAAACGAGGAAUGCGAUAUUAUGGACAAUUUUGAGAGUUCAGGGGUAAUAUGAACCAAAUCAAAGUCCAAACUUCUAACAUAGACUCUACGAUACUUUAGGAGGGAAAAAUGAACUUAUCUAGCGGCAUCUAACUGAACUCCUGGCGCAUAAGGCCAUAUCCAAUGCUAGCCUCUUAUCCAUGCGCUUAACAUGAGAAAAAUAAAUAACAAAAAAAUGAAAAAUCGGUUAAACCACCCUCCGCUUUCAGAGUUGUGUGUGCUACUUCCAGGCGCCAAACCACCCUCCGAUUCUCCUUUCGCAAGCCAAUGCCAGAGUUGUGAAGCUCUCAAGGAAUUCCGAAAGGUCGUCAUCGAGCAUUGUCCAAAAGAGUAUAAUCAGGCAGCGGAUGAGCUAGCUAGGGUAGUUAGGAUUGAUCCACCGAAUGUUUGGUUGGAUGAUCUUGCGAGUUUUCUUAUUCCUCUCCUUAUCGAUGAUGUUACCCUUAUUUGAGUAUUAAUAAAGCUAGCCACGAUGGUUUUCCUUAAGAAAAAGCGAUCGGCAAUUAAUUAGGCAACAACGCUACUCCCUGAGAUCGAACAGAUCGACCCACGUCAGAUUAAUUAGGCGAUUAAUAUAGGGCGCAAAAUUUUUAGCGUGAAUAUUAACGCAGCACCGAACAGAUCGACCCACGUCACAACUGCCGAAAAUCUCGCUAGCGCCCUUGCAAUUAGGAGAAAGAGAUCCAAUUAGCAUUUCCCACGUAUGCAAACGGAACGAAACUGCAUAUCUUUCCUCACGUAUGCAACGGCUGGUGCGGUUUUCUCGUUCGCAUGCAACUCGCGCGGGGCGCGUGGAAGGUCAGCCCGAACAUGCCCGCCUUAUAUUUCGAAAACUGUUUCGAAAUUUUAUACGCCCUACAUAAAAAACCGGAGGAAGUACGUGAUAAGCUG